UUCUGAUCUUAACUAUUCUGGAUGUAGUCUUCUCUACCAGAUCUGGACCGAACAACUUUUAUCUCACACUUCCUCCCAACAAAUCAGUGAUCUGCAUGGAUGCCCAUAUAAUGCCUCAUACGGAGCCAUGCCAAUACUUUCUUAGUAACUGUUGUUAUAGGCGAAUUUUAUCAAGGGUAGAUGGUCAUCUCAAUGGCCCUCGAAGUCAAGAACACAAGCUCGGAGCAUAUCCUCAA
rnacentral:lncRNA from 1 species